rnacentral:rRNA from 1 species
AUUGAACGCUGGCGGCAGGCUUAACACAUGCAAGUCGAGCGGAGAGAGGUAGCUUGCUACUGAUCUUAGCGGCGGACGGGUGAGUACUGCUUAGGAAUCUGCCUAUUAGUGGGGGACAACAUUUCGAAAGGAAUGCUAAUACCGCAUACGUCCUACGGGAGAAAGCAGGGGAUAUUCGGACCUUGCGCUAAUAGAUGAGCCUAGGUCGGAUUAGCUAGUUGGUGGGGUAAAGGCCUACCAAGGCGACGAUGUGUAGCGGGUCUGAGAGGAUGAUCCACCACAAUGGGACUGAAACACGGCCCAGACUCCGACGGGGGGCAGCAGUGGGGAUUAAUGGACAAUGGGCGGAAGCCUGAUCCAGCCAUGCCGCGUGUGUGAAGAAGGCCUUAUGGUUGUAAAGCACUUUAAGCGAGGAGGAGGCUACUUUAGUUAAUACCUAGAGAUAGUGGACGUUACUCGCAGAAUAAGCACCGGCUAACUCUGUGCCAGCCGCCGCCGUAACAC